UUACAACCAGCAGCGUUGGAUCCCUUGGCAUGUCAUUCGAUGAAGACCGUUGCAAAAUGCGAUAAGUGGUGUGAUAUGCAAGUCCAAAACUUAUACGUGAACCAUCGAAUUGUUGAACGCACUGCAUCGAGCCUUACCCAGGAACGAUACGCCCCAUUGAGCGUCAUUA
rnacentral:rRNA from 1 species